rnacentral:misc_RNA from 1 species
GAUGAAGAACGUAUCGAAAUGCGAUAAGUAAUGUGAAUUGCAGAAUUCAGUGAAUCAUCGAAUCUUUGAACGCACAUUGCGCCCGCCAGUAUUCUGGCGGGCAUGCCUGUUCGAGCGUCAUUUCAACCAUCAAGCCCCAGGCUUGUGUUGGGGACCUGCGGCUGCCGCAGGCCCUGAAAACCAGUGGCGGGCUCGCUGUCACACCGGGCGUAGUAGAUUUUAUCUCGCUCAGGGCGUGCUGCGGGUUCCGGCCGUUAAAAAGCCUUUUUUACCCAAGGUUGACCUCGGAUCAGGUAGGAAGACCCGCUGAACUUAAGCAUAUCAAAAGCGGAGGA